ensembl:snRNA U6 U6 spliceosomal RNA
GUGCUGGUGUUGGCACCACAUAUACUGAAAUUGGACCCAUACAGAGAAGAUUAGCAUGGUCCUGGGCACGAAUCACAGACGAAUUUGCAAAUGUGUGGAGCAUUUCGUAUUUUU